rnacentral:lncRNA from 1 species
UUAAUCUUUAAUUUUCUUUUACGGAUCUUUUCAAGUCAGAAAAAAAAAAAAACUAUAAUAAUUGAAGCGAUUUUAUUUUUCUUAAUUUGUAAAGAGAGAAAAAAUAUUUUUUAAAUAUAAAAUAAAGAAAAAGAAAAUAUUUAAGCGUGCGUACGCUGGAAUGGAGGGCAUGAUAAGGUUGCUUUCGCUUUGAAAUUUGGAGAAUAA